CAGUCGCCACGGUAAGACAGAGGAUGCAAGCGUUAUCCGGAAUGAUUGGGCGUAAAGCGUCUGUAGGUGGCUUUUCAAGUCCGCCGUCAAAUCCUAAGGCUCAACCCUGGACAGGCGGUGGAAACUACCAAGCUGGAGUAUGGUAGGGGCAGAGGGAAUUUCCAGUGGAGUGGUGAAAUGCGUUGAGAUCGGAAAGAACACCAACGAUGAAAGCACUCUGCUGGGCCGACACUGACACUGAGAGACGAAAGCUAGGGGAGCAAAUGGGAUUAGAUACCCCAGUAGUCCCUGUCUCUUAUAA
rnacentral:rRNA from 1 species